GUAAGGACGUAUGACAGCAUAUGACAUAUGACAGUGAACAGACAUAAUUAGAUGCGAACAAUCAUCUGUUGCCGAAACUGGAUAUCAGGUCAAGAAACAUUUCUAAAAUACUGGAUGAAGACGAAAGACAAAUAUAACACUAAAGUAAAAUUCAACAGUGAAAGUUAAAAUGCACGGACUCAUGUCAGUUAAAAUUAAAUUUGCUCUGAAAGCUAGUGACUCGCCAUCUUUUGAAAAAUUCAGUUCACAUCGCUUAGUUUAUGUCCAGUCUCACCCUCUUCUCAUACACACGCAUGGCUGUAAACACAAGCUGCUGGGAGGGCUUACAAACCUCGGUAGCUGAAGUACGGGGCGAGAGCAGACGACAGUCUUGGCUCAUGCGCAGACAGAACCGAAAGUGACAAAGUACGCCAUUGGUCACAUCUGAUACUCUCGGCCUUAAAAAGGAGAAAAUGUUCGUGUAGCAGCCGGUGGCAACUGGAAGACUGGAGUCUGCGGGAAACGUCAUUUGUGAAGAACGUCUGAAGGAAGGAAAUGACGUCAUAGCUUUGGUAUGUGGGAGUCGUCUGCUUCACUCUGGAAGAGACGAAUACCCGGAUCUUGGAUGAAUUAGAUCUCUAUGUCGUAGUUUCUAGAAAAAAACCUGAACGUGUAAAAGAAUGCUUGAGGAUGAAGCUGACAUCAGUGUAUGGGAAAGCUAGUUCCAUCGCCACCUUGCGGAUGAGAAAGACUAUACUGCAUUCAAAUACAGAAACGCGGCUGGCGCAUUUAAGGUCCAUCUGCCGGUGACUUCCACCACGGACAUUCUGCGAGUUCCGUGCCUACACAAACGAAAAACAACCUAGAGAAAAAGUCCACAUGAAAGUGGAAAGCUGAAAAGGAAGAACAAAGGCCACAAGGAAGGAAAACCAGUCAAAGACAAUUAAAAAGGAUUCCAACAAGAAAUCCAAACAGACAAAAGGCGAGAUAUUUCAAAAUAAUGCAGAAAAACGAUCAACAGAGAGCUGGCCUCUCUAAAGCCAGCAACGGUUUCACAGUUUAUCGACACCUUCCUCGAGUCAGAACUGGGACGAGAGAACGGUGUGUGCAAAUAAGCACAAAAAGCAAGAAGAAAGCACGAGGAAGAGAGAAUCAAAACAGGAGCUGUAUAUCCUGACACGAGAAGUGAUGGCGGAGUGAAGAUCUGACACAGCCAGACGUGUUCUCGCCUCUUUUCGUGACUUUGCACCUAUUAUCUCUGCAGUCAGGCGGAAACAUCGGCGGCAACAGUGCAGGAAGCUGAGACACAAACAUGGACGAGUAGGUGAAUCCUCCGUUUGCCUCUCAGACCACUGGAUGCAAUGCAGUCGUGAAAACAUCGUCUACCGUCC